UUGAACAAUAAAGAAAAUUAAAGCUUUAUUGAUAAUCGGAUAAAUAUUACAAAGUUAUAUUACAUAUGACAUACAUGAAUAAUUAAUAAGAGAAUACAUUCUUGGAUUGUAAAGAAUUCAGGAAAGACAACCUAAACUAAAUUAUCUAUUCUUCCUAUACUAUCAUAUCUAAGAUCUUGAUUUUAAUCUUGAUCUUCUUCUUCUUUUCUUCAAAACCCGCAACCAUAAACACUAGAGGGAGUGGGUUAGGAUUAGUAUGUAGCAUAUAUCCUGUCAAGUGACAGUAGAUAUAAGCCACUGUUCAGCCUCAGAAUAAAGCCAGGAGUAGAUAUAGAUCAAACCCACCCGACCAGGACCAAGUAACCAAGCAAUUAGCCACCCAGCAACUUACAAGAUAGGCAUCAAGGAGAGCUUGACAACAGCAAGCAGCUGCUGUCAACACCACCAGCACCAGAGAUUCACGCAAGGACAACACUAGCAGCACACACAACAAGCACACAGCUGAGUCACCCGUCCAGAGCACUAUAAAUAGAGCAACCCAGCCGUAGUGAGAGUUUGAUAGCCACUGGUACAACUGAACCAAACAGGAGUUGGACCAAACCCAAACCUGAGAAUUAGUGUGAAACAGCAAGGAGGUGCAGGCUAACCACAAGAAGGAUAACCAGAGCCUCAAGACCAAGCUACUCAGCACCAGAGGUAGGAUUGGAGUGAUGGAAUCCUCAGGCGUGCACAGAAAUGCUGUGUCAUGCAUCACAGGAUUUGUAGGAGUUCUUGGAGCCACAAAAAUAACUUUAGAACCCAGAGAGGCCUCAGACCAGCAUCAUAGGCAAUAAGAUCAGGCAACAUAUGUUCUUAUCAGUUUAAUAGAAGAGAGAGGGAUAGAGAAAUAGACAAGAAAGCAGAAUAUAGCCAAGACAAGCAAUAUCUGUUCUUAAGUAGAGUAAAGAUAGCAUAGAAGAAAUAGACAGGGUAGCACCCAACUGAAUAUCUGCUUCUGCAGAACACUGCACUCCACUUACACAUGGUAUUUUUCUGCAAAUAGGACACCACAUCCACCAGCACAUGGGCUAGUAUCAUUAGCAGUGCUGCUGUAAGUAUAUAUAAUGUUGGCAAAUUCUAGCCUAUCUCUCUCACCUCACCUCGGUCUUUCUCUGAAACUCAGGUGGCAGGAAGAACAGGGAGGUUUUGCGCCGCGUGAACUUGCGACUUUUCUGAUUUUCAUUCCUCUCUACUUAUUCAGAGUACAGCAACAGAAACAGGGUCGUGGCCCCCUAACUACGCGCCACCACAGAUCGUGAUGCUCGUGCCAUCCCACGAGCGAUCGGUGAGGGCGCCAGAAACGCUCCACGCACUAACUGACUCGAGCUAAACUCGCUAACAGAAACCUGAAGCUACUGACGAAACUGAAGAAAAGACUGAAACUGACGAAACUGAAAACCAAAAACACUAGCUACUGCAGACUUGGGUUUAUUCAACAAUCACCCCCUAAAUCCUAGUCUGCUUACUUUAUUUUCUUCAUUCCAAUCUUCUCUCUCAGCUGGAUGAACCUGACCCGUCCCAGGGGCUUCGUCAAAAUGUCAGCCAACUGAUCUUCAGUUCGGAUGUAAUCAACUGUCAUCCUUCCAUCCUCCACACAUUCCCUGAUGAAAUGAUACCGCACAUCUAUGUGCUUACUUCUGUCGUGGAGAACCGGAUUCUUGCAGAGAGCUAUGGCAGAUUUGUUGUCCACCAGAAGCAGUGGCACCUGAAGUUCUUCACCUGUGAUUUCUGCAAGCAGACGCGCCACCCACACGCCCUGACAUGCGGCCGUUAUUGCUGCAAUGAACUCAGCUUCACAUGAUGAAAGGGCCACCACUUUCUGUUUCUGCGACAGCCAGCUGACAGGGCUAUCACCGAGGAAAAAGACUCCCCCGGACGUGCUCUUGCGAUCAUCGAUGUCGCCCGCCAUGUCGCUGUCGCUGUACCCGACGAGCCUGGCUCCGUUGGCUCGCCGGCGAGGAAAAUGACACCCCAGAUCACGAGUGCCGGCCACGUACCUGACGAUGUGCUGAACAGCAGUCAAGUGCUCGACCGUGGGCGCUUCCAUGAAACGGCUCACGUAGCUCACCGCGAAGGUGAUAUCUGGCCGGGAGUGGGUGAGGUAGCGCAACGUCCCCACCAUGCUCCUGUACUCCGUAGCGUCCGUCGAAGCCGCUGUGCUUGCCUUGCUCAGCUUCAGACGCGCUUCCAUGGGUGUCUGACGUGCAUUACACCCCAUCAGCCCCGCCUUCUCAAUGAUCUUGUCAACGUACGCGCUCUGCGCAAUGGUCACACCAUCCACAUCCUGGCGCACUUCAAUGCCUAGGUAGUAGGAGAGCAACCCGAGAUCGCUCAUCCUAAACUUGCCCUUCAUCGCCGUCUUGAAAUUGUCGAUCUCCGUGGCGUCGGCCCCGGUGAUCACCAGGUCAUCCACGUACACCCCCAGAAGAAGGAGCUCGCGGCCUGACCCGCGUGCGUAGACGGCGUGCUCGGAGUUGCAGCGACGGAAACCCAUGUCAACGAGCGUGGUGUCAAGCUUGGCGUUCCAAGCGCGAGGUGCCUGGUGGAGACCAUACAGCGCCUUGUGCAGCUUCAGUACCUUGCGCCUGUGGUCGUCGACGACGAAACCCGGCGGCUGCUCGACGUAGACCUCCUCCUUCAGCUCGCCAUUGAGGAAAGCCGAUUUGACAUCCAUGUGAUGGAUCGGCCAUCCCCCGUGCGUUGCGAGUGCUAGCAGAAGGCGCACGGACUCCAGUCGAGCUACUGGGGCAAAAACCUCGUCGAAGUCGAUGCCAGGCUUCUGCACAAAUCCCUUGGCGACGAGGCGAGCUUUGUACUUGACGAUUUCUCCGGCCGAGUCCUUCUUGACGCGGAACACCCACUUUACCCCGAUGGCCUGGUGUCCAGCGGGCAGAUCAGUGAGCUCCCACGUGUUGUUUUCCUCGGUCAAGUUUACCUCCUCGAUCAUCGCUCUGCGCCAGCUUGGAUCGAGCUCCGCUUCUUUGAAUGUACUUGGUUCUUCAGCAGAGGCGAUCAGCAGUUUUUUGUCUGGCUGAACGGCGCCAUAGUGGAGCCCGAGAACGUCAGACACACGGCGAAAGUGAUGAGCUACGCGCGCGUCGUCAUCGGCGUCCAGCACUGGGCUCCCGGAGGGUGGUGUCACGAACUCCAAACCCCCUGGAGUGGCGGCUGCAGCAGGGGUUUGUGGUGCCUCGGUCGCCGAUUCCGGGCUGCUGACAGACACGGCCGUGUCCGGACUGCUGACAGGUGCGGGUGUGUUCACUUCAGAGCGUGAUCUGCCGCUGCAAGUUUCCGCGGAGCCGGCGGUGUCUGAGGUUCUGCUUCUUCUUCUCCGCCACUCUGAGCCAUCUGCACCUUGUAAGCUGGAUAAGGUACAGUGAACGACUCACCCACUGUUGCCGGAGUGCCAUGAGAGGAGUCCUCCCAGUUCCAUCGUGAUGACUCGUCGAAGACAGCAUCCCGCAUGAUCUGGACACGCUUGGUCGCCGGGUUGUAGGCGCGGUACGCUUUGCCGCCCUCUUCAUACCCGACGAAAACCAUCGGAGUGGAGCGGUCCUCGAGCUUGCUCUGGUGCGGUUUCACCGUCUUGACAUGAACCACGCACCCAAAGGUGCGCAGGAAGUGCACCGGAGGUCGAUCACCGUGCCACGCCUCGUACGGGGUCAUGCCGACCACGGAGCGCGUCGGCGACCUGUUCAGGAUGAACACGGCAGUGGUGACUGCCUCCCCCCAGAACUCUCCUGGCAUGGAUGCGACCUUCAUCAUGCUCCUGGCCAUGGCCACCACCGUCUGGUUACGGCGCUCCACAACGCCGUUUUGUUGAGGAGUACGGCACCGUGAGCUGCCGCUGCACCCCUCGGUCUGCACAGUAGUCGCUGAAGUCGACGGAGGUGAACUCGCCGCCGCAGUCCGUCCGCAGUGCGCGCAGCCUGCGCCCUGUCUCUGUCUCCACGCGCGCCUGGAACCGCGCGAUCGCCCCCGCGGCCUCGUCCUUGGACCGAAGCACUGACAGCCACAUGUACCUGGACAUGUCGUCGACGAGGAGGAAGUAGCGCCGCCCACCAGCCGUGGCGGGCGUGAUGGGCCCGCAAAGAUCGCCGUGCACCAGCUCCAGGAUCUGCUCCGCUCUGUAGUUCGCCUCUGCGGGAAACGAGGCACACCUCUGCUUGCCGGCGAGGCACCCGUCACACACCUGGUCGAUGUGGUCAAUGGAGGGCAGCCCGCGCACCAGUCCUUGCUGGGCGAGCUUGCGAAGCGCCUGGAAGUUGAGGUGGCCGUAUCUUGCAUGCCACUUCCACGCCUCGUCCGUUGCGCACCGUGCGGCCAGACAGACGGGGCGCGCGAGCUGGAGCGCGUAUGGGUACAGCCGGUUGCCGGCGCGCUGCACCUUUGCCAUGAUUCGACGCUGCUGGUCGUAGAGGGUGAAGACGCCGUGCUCUAUCUCCGACCUGCACCCGGUUUGGUCGAGUUGCCCGAUGCUGAUGAUGUUGCUCUUCAGCCGCGGGAUGAAGUAGACACCGCUCAGGACGCGGUGGCCGCCGGCGUGGUCGGUGAAGAGCACACUUCCGCGCCCUCGAAUGUCGACGACCGAUCUGUCUCCGAACUUGACGGUGCCGGUGACGUGACGGUCGAGCUCACUGAACGAGGCUUCCUCGCCGGACAUAUGGUUGUUGGCCCCUGUGUCCAAGUACCAGACGCCGGAGUGAGCGUCCGUGGCCAGGCCCAGAUGAGCUUCCACGCGCUCUUCGACCAGGUCGACGUGUCCGUCACGAUCGCUUGGAACCGCGGACAGAUCACACACCUACGCCAUGAGGAGGUGCGUGGGAUCGGCGUCGUCCCCGCCGUGCCCUUGGGCGAGAAGGGCCUUCGCCUCCUCGUCGCGCUUCUUCUUCCUGCAGUCACGGGCCCAGUGGCCGCUGAUGCCGCAGUAGCGACACUUGUCGCGAUCGUCGUCGUUGCCGGUGCCACCGGCGUUUCCUCUGCCAGCACCCCCGUUCUGGCCGCGUCCGCCGCCACCGCCGCGGCGCCCACGGCCCCUUCCACGCCGGCCUCGAGACGAGCCGGAGCCCGAGCCACCAGCGUGAGAAUCGCCGUUCUUGAGACGGGCGUUCCACUCCUCUUCAGUGAGAAGCAGGCUCCCCACGCUAUCAGUGCUCUGUUGCAGCUCAUGGCGUUCCUCCGCCGCUUUCAGUCUCCCAGUCAGCUCCUCAACAGAGAGCUGAUCGAGAUCGACAAGAGUUUCGAUCGAGAGAGCGAUCUGCGAAAACUGUUUGGGGACUACUGACAGAAAUUUUCUCACAACUCGUUUUUCAAGGAUGUUUUCACCGAGCUGUGCCAUCUGCCCCACCAUCGCGGUGAGACGCAUUGCGAAGUCGUCCACCGACUCGCCGUCGGCGAACUUGAUGUCGCCGUACCGCCUGGUGAGCGUCGCGAGUUUUGCCUCCCGCACCCGCGCCACACCAAGCCGCAUCAUCUUCAGAGAGUCCCACGCCUCCUUCGCCGUCGCCUUGGCGGCGAGCGUGGGUCCCAUCUCCGGCGGCACGCCGCGCAUGAUCGCCUCGAGCGCCAAACGAUCCUCGCUGCGCUCGGCGGUGCCCGUCUGGACGGCGUCCCAGAGAUACCGUCCCUCCAUCAUGACCUGCAUCAGGACAGCCCAGUCGGUGUAGUUGGAUCGGGUCAGCUGCGGCCACGCCGCACCGCCGAUGUCGCGCGCCAUCCGCUCUGUGGAUCUCUCGGCCACGGCAAGCUCGUUGCCGUCGGAGACCCGUGCCCGCGGAGUGGCCGGCGACUUGCCGCCACCGGAGUCGUCUGGACCUGCCAUCUCCAAGACCAGAACAGGGCUCUGAUGCCAAUUGUUGGCAAAUUCUAGCCUAUCUCUCUCACCUCACCUCGGUCUUUCUCUGAAACUCAGGUGGCAGGAAGAACAGGGAGGUUUUGCGCCGCGUGAACUUGCGACUUUUCUGAUUUUCAUUCCUCUCUACUUAUUCAGAGUACAGCAACAGAAACGGGGUCGUGGCCCCCUAACUACGCGCCACCACAGAUCGUGAUGCUCGUGCCAUCCCACGAGCGAUCGGUGAGGGCGCCAGAAACGCUCCACGCACUAACUGACUCGAGCUAAACUCGCUAACAGAAACCUGAAGCUACUGACAAAACUGAAGAAAAGACUGAAACUGACGAAACUGAAAACCAAAAACACUAGCUACUGCAGACUUGGGUUUAUUCAACAAUCACCCCCUAAAUCCUAGUCUGCUUACUUUAUUUUCUUCAUUCCAAUCUUCUCUCUCAGCUGGAUGAACCUGACCCGUCUCAGGGGCUUCGUCAAAAUGUCAGCCAACUGAUCUUCAGUUCGGAUGUAAUCAACUGUCAUCCUUCCAUCCUCCACACAUUCCCUGAUGAAAUGAUACCGCACAUCUAUGUGCUUACUUCUGUCGUGGAGAACCGGAUUCUUGCAGAGAGCUAUGGCAGAUUUGUUGUCCACCAGAAGCAGUGGCACCUGAAGUUCUUCACCUGUGAUUUCUGCAAGCAGACGCGCCACCCACACGCCCUGACAUGCGGCCAUUGUGGCUGCAAUGAACUCAGCUUCACAUGAUGAAAGGGCCACCACUUUCUGUUUCUGCGACAGCCAGCUGACAGGGCUAUCACCGAGGAAAAAGACUCCCCCGGACGUGCUCUUGCGAUCAUCGAUGUCGCCCGCCAUGUCGCUGUACCCGACGAGCCUGGCUCCGUUGGCUCGCCGGCGAGGAAAAUGACACCCCAGAUCACGAGUGCCGGCCACGUACCUGACGAUGUGCUGAACAGCAGUCAAGUGCUCGACCGUGGGCGCUUCCAUGAAACGGCUCACGUAGCUCACCGCGAAGGUGAUAUCUGGCCGGGAGUGGGUGAGGUAGCGCAACGUCCCCACCAUGCUCCUGUACUCCGUAGCGUCCGUCGAAGCCGCUGUGCUUGCCUUGCUCAGCUUCAGACGCGCUUCCAUGGGUGUCUGACGUGCAUUACACCCCAUCAGCCCCGCCUUCUCAAUGAUCUUGUCAGCGUACGCGCUCUGCGCAAUGGUCACACCAUCCACAUCCUGGCGCACUUCAACGCCUAGGUAGUAGGAGAGCAACCCGAGAUCGCUCAUCCUAAACUUGCCCUUCAUCGCCGUCUUGAAAUUGUCGAUCUCCGUGGCGUCGGCCCCAGUGAUCACCAGGUCAUCCACGUACACCCCCAGAAGGAGCUCGCGGCCUGACCCGCGUGCGUAGACGGCGUGCUCGGAGUUGCAGCGACGGAAACCCAUGUCAACGAGCGUGGUGUCAAGCUUGGCGUUCCAAGCGCGAGGUGCCUGGUGGAGACCAUACAGCGCCUUGUGCAGCUUCAGUACCUUGCGCCUGUGGUCGUCGACGACGAAACCCGGCGGCUGCUCGACGUAGACCUCCUCCUUCAGCUCGCCAUUGAGGAAAGCCGAUUUGACAUCCAUGUGAUGGAUCGGCCAUCCCUCGUGCGCUGCAAGUGCUAGCAGAAGGCGCACGGACUCCAGUCGAGCUACUGGGGCAAAAACCUCGUCGAAGUCGAUGCCAGGCUUCUGCACAAAUCCCUUGGCGACGAGGCGAGCUUUGUACUUGACGAUUUCUCCGGCCGGGUCCUUCUUGACGCGGAACACCCACUUUACCCCGAUGGCCUGGUGUCCAGCGGGCAGAUCAGUGAGCUCCCACGUGUUGUUUUCCUCGAUCGAGUUUACCUCCUCGAUCAUCGCUCUGCGCCAGCUUGGAUCGAGCUCCGCUUCUUUGAAUGUACUUGGUUCUUCAGCAGAGGCGAUCAGCAGUUUUUUGUCUGGCUGAACGGCGCCAUAGUGGAGCCCGAGAACGUCAGACACACGGCGAAAGCGAUGAGCUACGCGCGCGUCGUCAUCGGCGUCCAGCACUGGGCUCCCGGAGGGCGGUGUCACAAACUCCAAACCCCCUGGAGUGGCGGCUGCAGCAGAGGUUUGUGGUGCCUCGGUCGCCGAUUCCGGGCUGCUGACAGACACGGCCGUGUCCGGACUGCUGACAGGUGCGGGCGUGUUCACUUCAGAGCGUGAUCUCGCCGCUGCAAGGUUCCGCAGAGCCGGCGGUGUCUGAGGUUCUGCUUCUUCUUCUCCGCCACUCUGAGCCAUCUGCACCUUGUAAGCUGGAUAAGGUACAGUGAACGACUCACCCACUGUUGCCGGAGUGCCAUGAGAGGAGUCCUCCCAGUUCCAUCGUGCUGACUCGUCGAAGACAGCAUCCCGCAUGAUCUGGACACGCUUGGUCGCCGGGUUGUAGGCGCGGUACGCUUUGCCGCCCUCUUCAUACCCGACGAAAACCAUCGGAGUGGAGCGGUCCUCGAGCUUGCUCUGGUGCGGUUUCACCGUCUUGACAUGAACCACGCACCCAAAGGUGCGCAGGAAGUGCACCGGAGGUCGAUCACCGUGCCACGCCUCGUACGGGGUCAUGCCGACCACGGAGCGCGUCGGCGACCUGUUCAGGAUGAACACGGCAGUGGUGACUGCCUCCCCCCAGAACUCUCCUGGCAUGGAUGCGACCUUCAUCAUGCUCCUGGCCAUGGCCACCACCGUCUGGUUACGGCGCUCCACAACGCCGUUUUGUUGAGGAGUACGGCACCGUGAGCUGCCGCUGCACCCCUCGGUCUGCACAGUAGUCGCUGAAGUCGACGGAGGUGAACUCGCCGCCGCGGUCCGUCCGCAGUGCGCGCAGCCUGCGCCCUGUCUCUGUCUCCACGCGCGCCUGGAACCGCGCGAUCGCCCCCGCGGCCUCGUCCUUGGACCGAAGCACUGACAGCCACAUGUACCUGGACAUGUCGUCGACGAGGAGGAAGUAGCGCCGCCCACCAGCCGUGGCGGGCGUGAUGGGCCCGCAAAGAUCGCCGUGCACCAGCUCCAGGAUCUGCUCCGCUCUGUAGUUCGCCUCUGCGGGAAACGAGGCACACCUCUGCUUGCCGGCGAGGCACCCGUCACACACCUGGUCGAUGUGGUCAAUGGAGGGCAGCCCGCGCACCAGUCCUUGCUGGGCGAGCUUGCGGAGCGCCUGGAAGUUGAGGUGGCCGUAUCUUGCAUGCCACUUCCACGCCUCGUCCGUUGCGCACCGUGCGGCCAGACAGACGGGGCGCGAGAGCUGGAGCGCGUAUGGGUACAGCCGGUUGCCGGCGCGCUGCACCUUUGCCAUGAUUCGACGCUGCUGGUCGUAGAGGGUGAAGACGCCGUGCUCUAUCUCCGACCUGCACCCGGUUUGGUCGAGUUGCCCGAUGCUGAUGAUGUUGCUCUUCAGCCGCGGGAUGAAGUAGACACCGCUCAGGACGCGGUGGCCGCCGGCGUGGUCGGUGAAGAGCACACUUCCGCGCCCUCGAAUGUCGACGACCGAUCUGUCUCCGAACUUGACGGUGCCGGUGACGUGACGGUCGAGCUCACUGAACGAGGCUUCCUCGCCGGACAUAUGGUUGUUGGCCCCUGUGUCCAAGUACCAGACGCCGGAGUGAGCGUCCGUGGCCAGGCCCAGAUGAGCUUCCACGCGCUCUUCGACCAGGUCGACGUGUCCGUCACGAUCGCUUGGAACCGCGGACAGAUCACACACCUACGCCAUGAGGAGGUGCGUGGGAUCGGCGUCGUCCCCGCCGUGCCCUUGGGCGAGAAGGGCCUUCGCCUCCUCGUCGCGCUUCUUCUUCCUGCAGUCACGGGCCCAGUGGCCGCUGAUGCCGCAGUAGCGACACUUGUCGCGAUCGUCGUCGUUGCCGGUGCCACCGGCGUUUCCUCUGCCAGCACCCCCGUUCUGGCCGCGUCCGCCGCCACCGCCGCGGCGCCCACGGCCCCUUCCACGCCGGCCUCGAGACGAGCCGAAGCCCGAGCCACCAGCGUGAGAAUCGCCGUUCUUGAGACGGCGUUCCACUCCUCUUCAGUGAGAAGCAGGCGCCCCACGCUAUCAGUGCUCUACUGCAGCUCAUGGCGUUCCUCCGCCGCUUUCAGUCUCCCAGUCAGCUCCUCAACAGAGAGCUGAUCGAGAUCGACCAGAGUUUCGAUCGAGAGAGCGAUCUGCGAAAACUGUUUGGGGACUACUGACAGAAAUUUUCUCACAACUCGUUUUUCAAGGAUGUUUUCACCGAGCUGUGCCAUCUGCCCCACCAUCGCGGUGAGACGCAUUGCGAAGUCGUCCACCGACUCGCCGUCGGCGAACUUGAUGUCGCCGUACCGCCUGGUGAGCGUCGCGAGUUUUGCCUCCCGCACCCGCGCCACACCAAGCCGCAUCGUCUUCAGAGAGUCCCACGCCUCCUUCGCCGUCGCCUUGGCGGCGAGCGUGGGUCCCAUCUCCGGCGGCACGCCGCGCAUGAUCGCCUCGAGCGCCAAACGAUCCUCGCUGCGCUCGGCGGUGCCCGUCUGGACGGCGUCCCAGAGAUACCGUCCCUCCAUCAUGACCUGCAUCAGGACAGCCCAGUCGGUGUAGUUGGAUCGGGUCAGCUGCGGCCACGCCGCACCGCCAAUGUCGCGCGCCAUCCGCUCUGUGGAUCUCUCGGCCACGGCAAGCUCGUUGCCGUCGGAGACCCGUGCCCGCGGAGUGGCCGGCGACUUGCCGCCACCGGAGUCGUCUGGACCUGCCAUCUCCAAGACCAGAACAGGGCUCUGAUGCCAAUUGUUGGCAAAUUCUAGCCUAUCUCUCUCACCUCACCUCGGUCUUUCUCUGAAACUCAGGUGGCAGGAAGAACGGGGAGGUUUUGCGCCGCGUGAACUUGCGACUUUUCUGAUUUUCAUUCCUCUCUACUUAUUCAAAGUACAGCAACAGAAACGGGGUCGUGGCCCCCUAACUACGCGCCACCACAGAUCGUGAUGCUCGUGCCAUCCCACGAGCGAUCGGUGAGGGCGCCAGAAACGCUCCACGCGCUAACUGACUCGAGCUAAACUCGCUAACAGAAACCUGAAGCUACUGACGAAACUGAAGAAAAGACUGAAACUGACGAAACUGAAAACCAAAAACACUAGCUACUGCAGACUUGGGUUUAUUCAACAAUCACCCCCUAAAUCCUAGUCUGCUUACUUUAUUUUCUUCAUUCCAAUCUUCUCUCUCAGCUGGAUGAACCUGACCCGUCCCAGGGGCUUCGUCAAAAUGUCAGCUAACUGAUCUUCAGUUCGGAUGUAAUCAACUGUCAUCCUUCCAUCCUCCACACAUUCCCUGAUGAAAUGAUACCGCACAUCUAUGUGCUUACUUCUGUCGUGGAGAACCGGAUUCUUGCAGAGAGCUAUGGCAGAUUUGUUGUCCACCAGAAGCAGUGGCACCUGAAGUUCUUCACCUGUGAUUUCUGCAAGCAGACGCGCCACCCACACGCCCUGACAUGCGGCCGUUAUGGCUGCAAUGAACUCAGCUUCACAUGAUGAAAGGGCCACCACUUUCUGUUUCUGCGACAGCCAGCUGACAGGGCUAUCACCGAGGAAAAAGACUCCCCCGGACGUGCUCUUGCGAUCAUCGAUGCCGCCCGCCAUGUCGCUGUACCCGACGAGCCUGGCUCCGUUGGCUCGCCGGCGAGGAAAAUGACACCCCAGAUCACGAGUGCCGGCCACGUACCUGACGAUGUGCUGAACAACAGUCAAGUGCUCGACCGUGGGCGCUUCCAUGAAACGGCUCACGUAGCUCACCGCGAAGGUGAUAUCUGGCCGGGAGUGGGUGAGGUAGCGCAACGUCCCCACCAUGCUCCUGUACUCCAUAGCGUCCGUCGAAGCCGCUGUGCUUGCCUUGCUCAGCUUCAGACGCGCUUCCAUGGGUGUCUGACGUGCAUUACACCCCAUCAGCCCCGCCUUCUCAAUGAUCUUGUCAGCGUACGCGCUCUGCGCAAUGGUCACAGCAUCCACAUCCUGGCGCACUUCAAUGCCUAGGUAGUAGGAGAGCAACCCGAGAUCGCUCAUCCUAAACUUGCCCUUCAUCGCCGUCUUGAAAUUGUCGAUCUCCGUGGCGUCGGCCCCAGUGAUCACCAGGUCAUCCACGUACACCCCCAGAAGAAGGAGCUCGCGGCCUGACCCGCGUGCGUAGACGGCGUGCUCGGAGUUGCAGCGACGGAAACCCAUGUCAACGAGCGUGGUGUCAAGCUUGGCGUUCCAAGCGCGAGGUGCCUGGUGGAGACCAUACAGCGCCUUGUGCAGCUUCAGUACCUUGCGCCUGUGGUCGUCGACGACGAAACCCGGCGGCUGCUCGACGUAGACCUCCUCCUUCAGCUCGCCAUUGAGGAAAGCCAAUUUGACAUCCAUGUGAUGGAUCGGCCAUCCCUCGUGCGCUGCGAGUGCUAGCAGAAGGCGCACGGACUCCAGUCGAGCUACUGGGGCAAAAACCUCGUCGAAGUCGAUGCCAGGCUUCUGCACAAAUCCCUUGGCGACGAGGCGACCUUUGUACUUGACGAUUUCUCCGGCCGGGUCCUUCUUGACGCGGAACACCCACUUUACCCCGAUGGCCUGGUGUCCAGCGGGCAGAUCAGUGAGCUCCCACGUGUUGUUUUCCUCGAUCGAGUUUACCUCCUCGAUCAUCGCUCUGCGCCAGCUUGGAUCGAGCUCCGCUUCUUUGAAUGUACUUGGUUCUUCAGCAGAGGCGAUCAGCAGUUUUUUGUCUGGCUGAACGGCGCCAUAGUGGAGCCCGAGAACGUCAGACACACGGCGAAAGCGAUGAGCUACGCGCGCGUCGUCAUCGGCGUCCAGCACUGGGCUCCCGGAGGGCGGUGUCACGAACUUCAAACCCCCUGGAGUGGCGGCUGCAGCAGGGGUUUGUGGUGCCUCGGUCGCCGAUUCCGGGCUGCUGACAGACACGGCCGUGUCCGGACUGCUGACAGGUGCGGGCGUGUUCACUUCAGAGCGUGAUCUCGCCGCUGCAAGUUUCCGCGGAGCCGGCGGUGUCUGAGGUUCUGCUUCUUCUUCUCCGCCACUCUGAGCCAUCUGCACCUUGUAAGCUGGAUAAGGUACAGUGAACGACUCACCCACUGUUGCCGGAGUGCCAUGAGAGGAGUCCUCCCAGUUCCAUCGUGCUGACUCGUCGAAGACAGCAUCCCGCAUGAUCUGGACACGCUUGGUCGCCGGGUUGUAGGCGCGGUACGCUUUGCCGCCCUCUUCAUACCCGACGAAAACCAUCGGAGUGGAGCGGUCCUCGAGCUUGCUCUGGUGCGGUUUCACCGUCUUGACAUGAACCACGCACCCAAAGGUGCGCAGGAAGUGCACCGGAGGUCGAUCACCGUGCCACGCCUCGUACGGGGUCAUGCCGACCACGGAGAGCGUCGGCGACCUGUUCAGGAUGAACACGGCAGUGGUGACUGCCUCCCCCCAGAACUCUCCUGGCAUGGAUGCGACCUUCAUCAUGCUCCUAGCCAUGGCCACCACCGUCUGGUUACGGCGCUCCACAACGCCGUUUUGUUGAGGAGUACGCCACCGUGAGCUGCCGCUGCACCCCUCGGUCUGCACAGUAGUCGCUGAAGUCGACGGAGGUGAACUCGCCGCCGCGGUCCGUCCGCAGUGCGCGCAGCCUGCGCCCUGUCUCUGUCUCCACGCGCGCCAGGAACCGCGCGAUCGCCCCCGCGGCCUCGUCCUUGGACCGAAGCACUGACAGCCACAUGUACCUGGACAUGUCGUCGACGAGGAGGAAGUAGCGCCGCCCACCAGCCGUGGCGGGCGUGAUGGGCCCGCAAAGAUCACCGUGCACCAGCUCCAGGAUCUGCUCCGCUCUGUAGUUCGCCUCUGCGGGAAACGAGGCACACCUCUGCUUGCCGGCGAGGCACCCGUCACACACCUGGUCGACGUGGUCAAUGGAGGGCAGCCCGCGCACCAGUCCUUGCUGGGCGAGCUCGCGGAGCGCCUGGAAGUUGAGGUGGUCGUAUCUUGCAUGCCACUUCCACGCCUCUUCCGUUGCGCACCGUGUGGCCAGACAGACGGGGCGCGCGAGCUGGAGCGCGUAUGGGUACAGCCGGUUGCCGGCGCGCUGCACCUUUGCCAUGAUUCGACGCUGCUGGUCAUAGAGGGUGAAGACGCCGUGCUCUAUCUCCGACCGGCACCCGGUUUGGUCAAGUUGCCCGAUGCUGAUGAUGUUGCUCUUCAGCCGCGGGAUGAAGUAGACACCGCUCAGGACGCGGUGGCCGCCGGCGUGGUCGGUGAAGAGCACACUUCCGCGCCCUCGAAUGUCGACGACCGAUCCAUCUCCGAACUUGACGGUGCCGGUGACGUGACGGUCGAGCUCACUGAACGAGGCUUCCUCGCCGGACAUAUGGUUGCUGGCCCCUGUGUCCAAGUACCAGACGCCGGAGUGAGCGUCCGUGGCCAGGCCCAGAUGAGCUUCCACGCGCUCUUCGACCAGGUCGACGUGUCCGUCACGAUCGCUUGGAACCGCGGACAGAUCACACACCUACGCCAUGAGGAGGUGCGUGGGAUCGGCGUCGUCCCCGCCGUGCCCUUGGGCGAGAAGGGCCUUCGCCUCCUCGUCGCGCUUCUUCUUCCUGCAGUCACGGGCCCAGUGGCCGCUGAUGCCGCAGUAGCGACACUUGUCGCGAUCGUCGUCGUUGCCGGUGCCACCGGCGUUUCCUCUGCCAGCACCCCCGUUCUGGCCGCGUCCGCCGCCACCGCCGCGGCGCCCACAGCCUCUUCCACGCCGGCCUCGAGACGAGCCGGAGCCCGAGCCACCAGCGUGAGAAUCGUCGUUCUUGAGACGGGCGUUCCACUCCUCUUCAGUGAGAAGCAGGCGCCCCACGCUAUCAGUGCUCUGCUGCAGCUCAUGGCGUUCCUCCGCCGCUUUCAGUCUCCCAGUCAGCUCCUCAACAGAGAGCUGAUCGAGAUCGACCAGAGUUUCGAUCGAGAGAGCGAUCUGCGAAAACUGUUUGGGGACUACUGACAGAAAUUUUCUCACAACUCGUUUUUCAAGGAUGUUUUCACCAAGCUGUGCCAUCUGCCCCACCAUCGCGGUGAGACUCAUUGCGAAGUCGUCCACCGACUUGCCGUCGGCGAACUUGAUGUCGCCGUACCGCCUGGUGAGCGUCGCGAGUUUUGCCUCCCGCACCCGCGCCACACCAAGCCGCAUCGUCUUCAGAGAGUCCCACGCCUCCUUCGCCGUCGCCUUGGCGGCGAGCGUGGGUCCCAUCUCCGGCGGCACGCCGCGCAUGAUCGCCUCGAGCGCCAAACGAUCCUCGCUGCGCUCGGCGGUGCCCGUCUGGACGGCGUCCCAGAGAUACCGUCCCUCCAUCAUGACCUGCAUCAGGACAGCCCAGUCGGUGUAGUUGGAUCGGGUCAGCUGCGGCCACGCCGCACCGCCGAUGUCGCGCGCCAUCCGCGCUGUGGAUCUCUCGGCCACAGCAAGCUCGUUGCCGUCGGAGACCCGUGCCCGCGGAGUGGCCGGCGACUUGCCGCCACCGGAGUCGUCUGGACCUGCCAUCUCCAAGACCAGAACAGGGCUCUGAUGCCAAUUGUUGGCAAAUUCUAGCCUAUCUCUCUCACCUCACCUCGGUCUUUCUCUGAAACUCAGGUGGCAGGAAGAACAGGGAGGUUUUGCGCCGCGUGAACUUGCGACUUUUCUGAUUUUCAUUCCUCUCUACUUAUUCAGAGUACAACAACAGAAACGGGGUCGUGGCCCCCUAACUACGCGCCACCACAGAUCGUGAUGCUCGUGCCAUCCCACGAGCGAUCGGUGAGGGCGCCAGAAACGCUCCACGCGCUAACUGACUCGAGCUAAACUCGCUAACAGAAACCUGAAGCUACUGACGAAACUGAAGAAAAGACUGAAACUGACGAAACUGAAAACCAAAAACACUAGCUACUGCAGACUUGGGUUUAUUCAACAUAUAAUAGCAGUAACCUGUAACAACAAGUAUAAUUAGCUAUUACCCGAAGGUCAGCCAGACCAAUGGAAAUACACAGAAUUAAGUAACCAACUCCAGGAACUAGAGUAGCAUAUUCAGUUAAUCAACUUGCAGUGGGAAGUACAACAAGUGAAAUCAAGUAGUCAAAGACAAUAGGAUUAGUGUACUGAACCAGGGAGCUUCAUAACUAAAGAAUCCUUCAGUUAACACGAACAGCAGAGCCACAUAGGAGCAAACAACAUAUUAAGCACUUUGCUCCUGACCAACUUAGCAAAUCCAGAGCAAUCAUAUACCACCAGACCAUCACGUGAGCACAGAAAUAAAGCAAAUACACAUGGGCAGCUACUGACAGACCCUAGAACAGCAUGAAUUUAUCACCAGAGAGGUCCAGUAGGAGUUGAUGCUUGAUUACAACAUCUAGCAGCAACUAGAAGAAUCCCACAUCCAACCCAAAUCAUGGCCAAGGCCAUGCAGGAGCAAAAUCAAUGGAGAAGGAACCGGGAGGACCUCACCAGAGGGAGAUUGUAGCCAUAGCUGUAGCUCAACCACACAACGGCUGUGGUGUGACCAUCACCACAUCCAGGAGAGGGUCUGGAGGCCGCCGGAGCACAACCACGACGACCAGGGCGAGCGCCGGGCACGGUGGCGCCACCCCGAGGGCAUCACCGCACGGAGACGCCACCCCAGGGGCACCACCGCAUCACGGUGAGCCGCUGGAGGUGCCGGAUGAAACCCCGCGACGACCGAAGGGCCGUCGGCGACAAGACCCGCCUCCACCACCGGAACCCUAGCGAGGAAAUCGUUGGGGACGACCACAGGAGGGAGGAAAAGUAGAUCGAUGCGGCGGAGCUGGUAGAGCUUGCCAAGGAGCAGCAAUGGGUGUGCUGGGAGGCGUCGGAGCUCACCGGAGCGGCCAGAAUCGGCCGGCGACCGAGGCGGCGACAGUGGGGAUCGAGCGUGAGAAGUACGAGAGGAAAAGAGGUGAGCGAGAGAUAGAGUCGAGUGCGUGUGCGCGUUCUGGUAUACUCUAGCCAGCGUGCGUACGUGUUGGGCUGAACCCAACCAUGGUGUGCGUACAUGUGUAUUGAACCAGGCCACCAGACCAAUACAUGUGUGUGCUACCUCAAGCCCUUGGAUUAAUUCACGUAUAAUCCCCUGUGCACUUCUACUUACACAUAUGUGUUAAUUAGUACUAGUCCACAUCACGUAUGUGUCAGAUCAACCCAAACCAAUACAUGUGUGUUAAGGUUAUAAAUCAACUUAAAUUAUAAAACAAAU
rnacentral:lncRNA from 1 species